UAGUCUUGAUGGCAUCUUAUUUAAUUAGUUUAUGAAGUUAAAAAUUUUUGGUUUGUUUUAUUUUGUUUAAAGAAUACAACUUCAUGCAUUUAAUAGAUAUAGAUUUGGGAACAUAGUUAUCUUCCCCCCACCUCCCUCCUACACAUAUUCAUGCCUUUCUUCCUCCUCCCCUUCCUUUCCCCUCUUAUUUUUUACAGAGAUCAAUUUUCAUCUAAUUUUUAUACUCAUAAGAUUAACUCCACACUAGGAAGAGAGUUCACUGACUAGUAUGAAGAAAAAAGGAGAAAAGAAGCAAACAAGAAAAACAUUAUUCCUCUACAGUCAAGGCAGAGUUAGACAGUGAGAGAGAGAGAGAGAGACAGAGAGAAAGGUCCGAAGCCAGGAGCCAGGUGCUUCCUCCUGGUCUCCCAUGAGGUGCAGGGCCCAAGCACUUGGGCCAACCUCCACUGCCUUCUCGGGCCACAGCAGAGAGCUGGACUGGAAGAGGAGCAACCGGGGCAGAAUCCAGCGCCCCAACCAGGACUAGAACCCGGGGUGCUGGCGCCACAGCAUUUCCAACAAUCCUAUCCACAGUGAAACCCUGGUGACUACUUCAUUCCCACCCUUGCCUUCCUGAAAAGAUAGUGGAAUCAGGUGCUUGUUAAUCAUGAGAUGUAAAAAUCCAGCUCCCUGAUAAUGGGAAGAGCAGCAGAAGAUGACACAAGUGUUUGGGCCACUGUCCCUCAGGUAGGAGACCUGGAUGAAGCCCCUAGCUUUCCCCUGGCCCAGCCUCCAUGGUUGCAGCCAUCUGAGGAGUGAACACAUGGAUGGAAGAUCUCUGUUUCUCCUUCUUUCUCUGUAACUCCGACACUCAACAUGAAUAAAAAACUUUAAAAGAAAAUAAGUGACCCCAUUGAACUACCUGCCCAAAGCAGCUCUUAUGAUUCCAGACUUGGCAACAAGUGACAGAAUCACUGUGUGAGAAUCCACAGGUUUCCCAGCCAGCUAGUUAUUGUGAAAAGCUGUUCCAAUGUUUGCAGCCUCUUUAUACUCAAGAAUGACAACAGAAUUGGAUUUUGGAUGCUGAAUGACAGGAUACAGCACAACAAUAGAAUGACAUUCUUUGUGGUGAAACAUAGGAAAGAUGUGAUGCUGUCCUCUUGUGCCCCAGUGCUUGAGAACCUGGUGAAGUGGCAACCUAGCUUAAAUGUGCUUACAUACAAUGCUCCCAGGAAACUGACUGAUGGACAGAAGAAGCUUCAGUGAUCAAUGGCUCAGAGCUAACUG